GCUGGGUGUGCUGGUGCACACCUGUAAUCCAAGCUACUUGGGAGGCUGAGACAGGAGAAUCACUUGAACCCAGGAGACAGAGGUUGCAGUGAGCUGAGAUGGCACCACUGCACUCCAGCCUGGGCGACAGAGUGAGACUCUGUCUCAA
rnacentral:SRP_RNA from 1 species